AUUGAACGCUGGCGGCAGGCCUAACACAUGCAAGUCGAGCGAGUGGCGGACGGGUGAGUAAUGUCUGGGAAACUGCCCGAUGGAGGGGGAUAACUACUGGAAACGGUAGCUAAUACCGCAUUCCAUCAGCUGUGCCCAGAUGGGUUUAGCUAGUCGGUGGGGUAACGGCUCACGUAGGCCACGAUCCCUCGCUGGUCUGAGAGGAUGACCAGCCACACUGUAACGGAGAGACGGUCCAGACUCCAACGGUAGGGAGAAGUGGGGAAUCUUGCACAAUGGGCGCAAGCCUGAUGCAGCCGUGCCGCGUGUAUGAAGAAGGCCAUCGGGUUGUAAAGUACUUUCAGCGGGGAGGCGUUACCCGCAGAAGAGGCACCGGCUAACUCCGUGCCAGCAGCCGCGGUAAUAC
rnacentral:rRNA from 1 species